UCUGGGCUGUAACUGACACUGAGGAGCGAAAGCAUGGGGAGCGAACAGGAUUAGAUACCCUGGUAGUCCAUGCCGUAAACGUUGGGCACUAGGUGUGGGGGACAUUCCACGUUCUCCGCGCCGUAGCUAACGCAUUAAGUGCCCCGCCUGGGGAGUACGGUCGCAAGGCUAAAACUCAAAGGAAUUGACGGGGGCCCGCACAAGCGGCGGAGCAUGCGGAUUAAUUCGAUGCAACGCGAAGAACCUUACCAAGGCUUGACAUACACCAGACCGUUCUGGAAACAGUUCCUCCCCUUUGGGGUUGGUGUACAGGUGGUGCAUGGUUGUCGUCAGCUCGUGUCGUGAGAUGUUGGGUUAAGUCCCGCAACGAGCGCAACCCUCGUUCUAUGUUGCCAGCACGUAAUGGUGGGAACUCAUAGGAGACUGCCGGGGUCAACUCGGAGGAAGGUGGGGAUGACGUCAAAUCAUCAUGCCCUUUAUGUCUUGGGCUUCACGCAUGCUACAAUGGCUGGUACAGAGAGAUGCGAGACCGCGAGGUUUUAGCGAAUCCCUUAAAGCCAGUCUCAGUUCGGAUCGUAGUCUGCAAUUCGACUACGUGAAGUCGGAGUCGCUAGUAAUCGCAGAUCAGCAACGCUGCGGUGAAUACGUUCCCGGGCCUUGUACACACCGCCCGUCAAGUCACGAAAGUCGGUAACACCCGAAGCCGGUAGCCCAACCC
rnacentral:rRNA from 2 species